UAAGAAAUGUAGGAAGAAAGUGGAUGACUGAUGAAAUGACAAUGUUUCAAAGAAUUAUUACAAAGGAUGCUACACCUAAACAAGGCAUAAAGAUGGUUUCUGGGAAAACGUCGUGGUCAAUUUAGCAAUGGCAAAGAAGAAGCUUGAAAAAUGCUAAUACACAAAUUCAUUUGAGCCAUAUUUGAGAAACUUCUUCAUAGACUUCUACAGCUUUUGUUCUCAACUGAGGCCCUUGACCUAGUGUCAGAGUUAAAAAAAAAGGUUUUGCUUUAUAAAUAAAUCAACAUUAUUACUUCAUGA